GGAUACUGGAGUGAUGGAGGUAGAUAUGUAUAGGGGGAAGGGGACAGGGAUACUGGAGUGAUGGAGGUAGAUAUGUAUAGGGGGAAGGGGACAGGGAUACUGGAGUGAUGGAGGUAGAUAUGUAUAGGGGACAGGGAUACUGGAGUGAUGGAGGUAGAUAUGUAUAAGGGACAGGGAUACUGGAGUGAUGGAGGUAGAUAUGUAUAGGGGGAAGGGGAUAGGGAUACUGGAGUGAUGGAGGUAGAUAUGUAUAGGGUUAAGGUGACUAGAGUGUGAGAGAGUGUACAUAGAGACAGUGCAAAAAUAAAAUACAAGGGUCAACUUAGAGAAUCCAUGCUGUUAGCUAUUUAGUCAGCUAUAUAGCAGUCUUAUGGCUUGGGGAUAGAAGUUGUUCAGAGGCUGUUCGGCUUUGCAUUUAGACCAAAAAGUGUAUUUCCUUUUCCAUUUUGUAUUUAAAUUACUUUAGUGCUUUGUUGCGUGAUGCUAUCGCGUCUGCAUGGACCAACAUUCCUGUGGGAACAUUUCUGAUACCUUGUAGAAUGCCCCAGAGAAUUCAGGUUGUUCUGGAGGCAAAGGGAGUCCGACCCGGUACUAGAUGGGAGUACCUAAUAAACUGUCCGGUGAGUGUAUAAUCCACAGCAUAAUUAUUAACUUAAACCAUGCUUAAAGAGAUAUUCAAAUAUCUGAUUUGUUAUUGUUAUGCAGCUACCAAUCGCUGUCCUUCUUUAUGAG
rnacentral:lncRNA from 1 species